rnacentral:rRNA from 1 species
AUUGAACGCUGGCGGCAGGCCUAACACAUGCAAGUCGAACGGUAGCACAGAGAGCUUGCUCUCGGGUGACGAGUGGCGGACGGGUGAGUAAUGUCUGGGAAACUGCCCGAUGGAGGGGGAUAACUACUGGAAACGGGUAGCUAAUACCGCAUAACGUCGCAAGACCAAAGAGGGGGACCUUCGGGCCGUCCUUGCCCGACUCGGGUAUGUUGCCCGACGGGUUGGGGAUUUAGCUUGUUAGGUG